UCUUUGAAAGUUUUUAAUAAUAGUUCAUUUUCACUGAGCAGAGUUGCUUAUAGCGCAAUCAAAGUA
rnacentral:tRNA from 1 species